UGCAACGUGCACUCAGGCAGGAGCAGACUGCUUCCCAGGCUCAGGAGGGGUAACAGGCCUGCCUUUGAAUCUCCUGGUAACAGAGGAGGAGUGGGAGGUCGAGGGCAUGUGGAAAAUCUGAUGGAGCAAGCUUUAAAACGGCAGGGAGAGGAGGAAAGUGGGAUCAAGGUACAGAGCAGAUUUACAAGAGAUUGUACUGGCUCCAUUCCCGGCCCCUGUGCUUUAGCCAAAGAUGGAAUGCCCUGGGCAAGGGAUAGCCAUUGUGACAGGGCUUUGGAGCGGAGCCCGGAGCUGGAGCACGGAGCAGUAGGUUUUAUGCCCGGAGUUGGAGCGGAGCCAUAGCGGAGCAAGUCAAAAAUGUGGUCCCUCCUAGUCAGGGUUGAGGCACAUGGUAAGAGUAGGAGUUGCCCACACUGGACCUGUUCUGUGAAUAAAAAGAGAAUUGGUCUUCAGGAUGAUUAGACCUUUCAUGAUCACUAUAAUAAUAAAGCACACGCAAGACACCUAUUGGCUCAACAUCAAGAAAGUUUCUUAAAAAUGAAGUCCUCAGUUAGAUCCUGUCAUAGAAUGCAUUUGAAUUAUGGAACCUCCAAAUCCCUGGGAGAUUUAACCAGCAGUGUUUCUGCUGAAGGUGGCAUUCCUAUUUCUUAUUAGGAUUCCAUUUAAUUUGCUAUUGUCACUCAGAAAUCCACUUAUCCUGCCUUUUGUCUGUCAGAGACCAGUACACUUUGACAUGAAAAUAAAAUGCUAUUCUGU